GUUCUAGCAACUGUUUCUACAGCUGAUCCAACCACGCCAGGUGCUAACUCUGGAAUUGUGAUCGCUGUUGUAUUAGCUGUUGCUAUCUGCAUGGGUUGGGUAAUGUAGAAGAGGGUAAAGCAUGCCACAGGUGAAGAUGAGCAUAACGCACAGACAACUCAAAACAAACAAUUAAGUUGACAAGUCUGGCUUCUCGAAUAUGUCUAACUAGUGUUUCUCUGUUUAUUUAAAAAUAUAUAUUAUAAACAAAGCUUAGUAAGCUAUGUCUUAAAUGGAUCUAAAAUGGAACUUGAAGUUUUUCGAGCUCGCACCGUUGGGUGUGGUACGUUGGGUGUGGUACGUUGUGCGCAGUAAUGACAGAUGCCCAGAUGGUACUCUCAUAUUCGGCAAGGUCAUUCCAAAAGUGAGUAUGGGCGCCAUUUUCAUUAGUGACAUUUGUCAGACAUCCAUAACUGAUGCCAAUAAAACUGUGUAUCUUAAACAUGGACAAAAACAUGCGGUUAUAUGUCCCAACCAGAAUGUCCAAAUUGGCCAUCCACCAACAUUGCACUACAUCUGCUCAUGGAGUAACCAGAUGAAACAUUCUGCAACAUGAUAUGCUACCCUCAUGCCACAUACCUGACUACUGGCAGACGUUUUCUACGGUGUGGUACCCCGACAUAAAGCCCUAAUUGGAUGCAAGUGACGUACUUGACAGCCGUCAUGGUAGUUCUCAUGACGGGUACCACGGGUGGGGCAGGAUAUCAUUACCUUUGGCGAACACCUAAUGUCAUCACUGUUUUGACAGCAUUAGGAUGAAAAAAAAAGAGGCUCCUUUCACAUUUGUGUCUCAAAAAGCAAUAGAAUAUAUCAGUCCCGGUUCCUUUAUAUCUCUGUUAAUAUGUUAUAUCUAGAUAUAGACUGUGAAAAAAGGUAUGAUUCCACGCAUGACUUACAAAAUAAAAACAAAGUGUGUUGCUAAAAAUGUCAGGAGUGUAACUUUUGCAUGACAACAACUAAAAGUAUAUUUUCUAGUAAUUGCCGAGUGGAAAUAAAUCAAAAUAUAAUUAUUU